CCAUGCGGGACUCAAUUCCAGGACUCCAGGAUCAUGAUCAGAGCCGAAGGCAGUCGCUUAACCAGCUGACCCACCAGGUGCCCUCAACUUGUAAUUCUUAAGUAACCUUCCGAUUUCAUCAGUGGGCAUUUGACAUUCCCUGAUUACUUCCCCAGAUUCAUUUUAUAUGAGACAGAGGAAACCACAUCUUGCAAAGCCAGAAACAGCUCUCUUCCUUAAAUGUAAUUUUCAUUGUCAUUGAAAGUGACAGAUUUUUGACAAAACUCAGUGUUCACUCUGAACUAUUAUAGCAGUUCAUUUUCCAACAGCAAGUAAUUCCAACUCAACACAGUGCUUAAUGUAGACGUUCGGUUCAUGUGCUAAAUCUCGUAAACCCCUAACUGUUCAAUUUACUUCAUAUAGGGAAACUCGGGGUCAACCUGGAGCAGUUCCUUACAGAAAAGAAACAGAGCUGCUACAAUACUUUGAACUCCAGGGAAUGUCACAGUGCAUCCAAAUAGCCCAGGUAUUGCCAGGUGCCCUGUGGAAUGAGGGAGAAAGUACCCUGCCUUCUUUGAAGGGACUCAAUACCCACACUCUCCCUCAUGGAACCAACUACUUCGAAUAUUAGGAUAAACUACAGAGGAAAACUGAGGAAUUUCCUUCGAUUUGAAACUCCUUCCUGGGCAGCCUUUGGCUUUGCCUGUAACAGAUUCAGUUGGCUUCUCUGAGUCAUCUUGCUUCUCUGCUUCUACCUGACAAAGGAGGUAUUUGCUGUCAGUGAAGUGCGCUGAAUCAACGAGGUGUCACUCUUCAUAUGCC